GCUUAACCUAAAUCGCAUUCGCCACACGAAUCCACUGCUGCCGUACACCUGUAAGAUAAGGAUAGAGAGAGAAAGAACAAUUCUAGAGAGAGAAAGUGCUUCGAUUUUUGUUGUUAGAGAGAGAAAGUAAAAAGAGCGAGAUCUGAUCGAGAUUUCUCUCAAAGGCACCGAAGCUCCAAACCCUACUAAGCCUGUAAGCCCCAAUUCUCUCUUUCUCUCUUACUUUCUCUCUUUCUUUGUAUGUUUCUUUGUGUGUGCGUGUGUGAGGGCGAGGAUUUGUGAUUUUGGGGAAAAGCCCUAAUUGAAUUGGUUAAUUUGUGUGGCGUGGAGGAGAGAAAUUGUUAAAUCUUUUUUGUACUUGGGGUUGGGAAAUUAGGGUUUAAAAAUUUUGGUGAUUGUUUGGUGGAGAGUAAAACCCUAGGGUGGAGGGAUUGGGAUAUUGGUUGCGAGAAAGCUAGGGUUUUGGAUGUAUGGCUUCGGGGCCUAUAGUUGGAGAUGGGGCUAGAGAGAGGCAGAGGUACACAGAGAGCAAGGUCUAUACGAGAAAAGCCUUCAAAGGCCCCAAGAAGAACAACACCACUGCGACCAUAAACAACAACUCCGCGACCACAAACAUUACCACCAACAACGAUGACGACAACAACAAGAACGAUGAGAAUAAUAGGGAUAACAACAACAACUACAACAAGAACGAGAGUAACGAGUUGGCUCGGCCCCCGGAGCAGAUGGUACUAGCGUCGGAGGAUGGGAACGAGGCUCAGAAACAGCUAAAUUCGAGACUUGAUACUGGGUCGGACGACUCGUCGAGCCUCAACCGGCAACAGGAGCAAGUGGUGGCAGUGCCGGGCACUCGGGAUGAGCCCUUGGGGAAUGGGGCGGUGAGGCCAGGGUUGGAGAAUAGGGUUAAGAUCAAUUUGGGGUCUAGGUCGAAGCAGGAGACGAGGGAGCUAAGGAGGAAGCUGGAGGGUGAGCUGGAUAAGGUGAGGAAUUUGGUGAAGAGGAUUGAAGCCAAGCAGGGGCAGAUUGGUGGGUAUGGUCAUUCUCAUAUGUUGACCAAUGAUGGGGUCGACAAUUGUGGCGGUGGAGCCAAGCGGGUUCAGUCAGAGGUGGCUUCUGUUGGAGUUGGUGUUCCUCGUGAGGUGAAUAGGCCUUUGCACCAAUUGAAUUUAUCGGUGUUGGAGAAUAGUCAGGGUGUGAUUGAAAAUGUGGAGAAAGAGAAGAGAACGCCAAAGGCAAACCAGUUUUACCGGAAUUCAGAGUUUUUGCUUGCAAAGGAUAAGUUUCCGCCGGUGGAGAGUAACAAGAAAUCAAAAUCAAAUAGCAAGAAGCAAGGUGGAGGAGAAAUGGGACAUGGGUUUUGGAUGGGCACCAAGUUUAACAAGAGCUGUAGUUCUUUGCUUGAGAAAUUGAUGAAGCACAAGCAUGGGUGGGUGUUUAAUACACCAGUGGAUGUACAGGGUCUUGGCUUGCACGAUUAUUUUACCAUUAUCAAGCAUCCGAUGGACUUGGGUACUGUGAAAUCGAGGCUGAACAAGAAUUGGUACAAGUCUCCAAAGGAAUUUGCAGAGGAUGUGAGACUUACAUUUAGCAAUGCAAUGACCUAUAACCCAAAAGGGCAAGAUGUUCAUGUAAUGGCAGAGCAGCUAUUGAAGAUAUUUGAGGACAGGUGGGCUAUAAUAGAGUCAGAUUAUAAUCGAGAGUUGAGGUAUACAAUGGACGUUGGGGUAGGGCUUCCAACACCUACCUCAAGAAAGGCUCCUCCAUUGCCACCACCCCCCCUUGAUAUGAGAAGGAUUUUGGAUAGGUCUGAGUCGAUGACGAAUUCCCUUGAUCCCAAGUCUAAACCCAUGAGUACUACUCCUUCGGCUAGGACCCCUGCACCAAAGAAGCCUAAGGCGAAAGAUCCCCAUAAAAGAGACAUGACUUAUGAUGAAAAACAAAAACUUAGUACAAACCUUCAGAAUUUACCUUCAGAGAAGCUAGAUGCGAUUGUACAGAUUAUUAAGAAGAGAAAUUCAUCACUUCGACAAGAUGAUGAGGAAAUUGAAGUGGACAUUGAUAGCGUGGAUGCUGAGACUCUCUGGGAGCUUGAUAGGUUUGUAACCAACUACAAGAAGAGUUUGAGCAAGCACAAGAGAAAAGCUGAACUUGCUAUUCAAGCCCGAGCAGAAGCUGAACAGAAUGUCCAGAAUAAUAAGAUUCAGGCUCCAGUUGUUGCAGAGGUAGCAAAGGAAAACAAAGCAGAUGAAAGAAAUGUUUCCACUUUGUCACCUGUACAAGGGGAAAAGCAGGUGGACAAUGGGAGUAGGUCGAGUAGUUCAAGCAGCUCUAGCAGUGAUUCUGGAUCCUCUUCAAGUGACUCUGAUAGCGAUACCUCAUCCGCAUCUGGAUCUGAUGCAGGGUCACCAAGGACUUGAGCAUAUUUUGUGUAGAUUGGAGAAAGAUGCACUGGAGAAUGAUUGAAGAUUGAAUUUAGUGUGAAAACCGGUUAUUAGGUGGAGAUCAGAGAAACUUAGACUAGAUGGUGAUCUUCCCAUAUGGUGAUUUGAAGCUUUCCACAUCAUGAAUUUCAAUCUGCGUUUGGUGUACAGCAAAAGCAUUGUCAAGGCCACCACUUUCUUGCCAUUUUCGGGGUGGGGGUCUAUUUCUUGCUGUUGCUAGAACAUGGCCUCAUUUAUCUACAUCUGGCCUCAUUUUUCUAGUCUCAAAUUUGUAUAAUAUUUGUAGAAUUUGAUGAUAAUUAGAUGUAGUUGGUUUGUCUUGUGUAGAAUUUGUACAUUGCUAACUACUGCUCAUCUAGAUUUCGGUUACUUGUUUUCAGUUUAGUGCUGGCAGAUUCAGGAUUCUUUGGUUUUAUACAAAAACUAUUCUGUAAUUCAAGUUCUUUAAGUUAUAAUUGCCUCA